AGCGAACGCUGGCGGCAUGCUUAACACAUGCAAGUCGCACGGUCGGGGUAACCCGGCAGUGGCGGACGGGUGAGUAACGCGUAGGUAUCUAUCCAUGGGUGGGGGAUAACGGUUGGAAACGACUGCUAAUACCGCAUGACACCUGAGGGUCAAAGGCGCGAGUCGCCUGUGGAGGAGCCUGCGUCCGAUUAGCUAGUUGGUGGGGUAAUGGCCUACCAAGGCUCCGAUCGGUAGCUGGUCUGAGAGGAUG
rnacentral:rRNA from 1 species